rnacentral:lncRNA from 1 species
CCCCCCCCCCUAGAGGAAGACCAUCCCAAUGUAUUGCACUGUAUAGGGAAUAGUAGAGUGAGGUGCAGCUAUUGUAUGGAUGUCUCAUUAGUCUGCCACCACUAGUCUGCCACCACUAGUCUGCCACCACUAGUCUGCCACCAUUAGUCUGCCACCAGUAGUGUGCCACCAGUAGUCUGCCACCAGUAGUCUGCCACCAGUAGUCUGCCACCAGUAGUCUGCCACCAGUAGUCUGCCACCAGCAGUCUACCACCAGCAGUCUGCCACCAGCGGUUUGCCACCAGCGGUCUACCACCGUAGUCUACCACCAGCAGUCUACCACCGUAGUUUACCACCAGCGGUCUGCCACCAGCGGUCUGCCACCAGCGGUCUGCCACCAGCGGUCUGCCACCAACGGUCUGCCACCAACAGUCUGCCACCAACAGUCUGCCACCAGUAGUCUACUAACAGUAGUCUACUAACAGUAGUCUGCUAACAGUAGUCUACUAACAGUAGUCUGCCACCAGUAGUCUGCCACCAGUAGUCUACUAACAGUAGUCUACCACCAGUAGUCUACUAACAGUAGUCUACCACCAGUAGUCUACUAACAGUAGUCUGCCACCAGUAGUCUACUAACAGUAGUCUACUAACAGUAGUCUGCCACCAGUAGUCUACUAACAGUAGUCUGCCAACAGUAGUCUACUAACAGUAGUCUGCCACCAGUAGUCUACCACCAGUAGUCUACUAACAGUUGUCUGCCAGCAGUUGUCUGCCACCAGUAGUCUGCCACCAGUAGUCUACCACCAGUAGUCUACUAACAGUAGUCUACUAACAGUAGUCUGCCACAGUAGUCUGCCACCAGUAGUCUGCCACCAACAGUCUACCACCAGCAGUCUGCCACCAGCGGUUUGCCACCAGCGGUCUACCACCGUAGUCUACCACCAGCAGUCUACCACCAGCAGUCUACCACCGUAGUCUACCACCAGCGGUCUGCCACCAGCGGUCUGCCACCAGCGGUCUGCCACCAGCGGUCUGCCACCAACAGUCUGCCACCAACAGUCUGCCACCAGUAGUCUGCCACCGGUAGUCUGCCACCGGUAGUCUACUAACAGUAGUCUAUUAACAGUAGUCUACAACCAGUAGUCUACUAACAGUAGUCUGCCACCAGUAGUCUACUAACAGUAGUCUACUAACAGUAGUCUACCACCAGUAGUCUACUAACAGUAGUCUACUAACAGUAGUCUGCCACCAGUAGUCUACUAACAGUAGUCUACCACCAGUAGUCUACUAACAGUAGUCUACCACCAGUAGUCUACUAACAGUAGUCUGCCACCAGUAGUCUACUAACAGUAGUCUGCCACCAGUAGUCUACCACCAGUAGUCUACCACCAGUAGUCUACCACCAGUAGUCUACUAACAGUAGUCUGCCACCAGUAGUCUACUAACAGUAGUCUGCCACCAGUAGUCUACCACCAGUAGUCUACUAACAGUAGUCUACCACCAGUAGUCUGCCACCAGUAGUCUACCACCAGUAGUCUACCACCAGUAGUCUACUAACAGUAGUCUACUAACAGUAGUCUGCCACCAGUAGUCUGCCACCAGUAGUCUGCCACCAGUAGUCUACUAACAGUAGUCUGCCACCAGUAGUCUACUAACAGUAGUCUGCCACCAGUAGUCUACCACCAGUAGUCUGCCACCAGUAGUCUACUAACAGUAGUCUACCACCAGUAGUCUGCCACCAGUAGUCUACCACCAGUAGUCUACUAACAGUAGUCUACCACCAGUAGUCUACUAACAGUAGUCUGCCACCAGUAGUCUACUAACAGUAGUCUGCCACCAGUAGUCUACUAACAGUAGUCUACUAACAGUUGUCUGCCAGCAGUAGUCUACUAACAGUAGUCUGCCACCAGUAGUCUACUAACAGUAGUCUGCCAUCAGUAGUCUACUAACAGUAGUCUGCCACCAGUAGUCUACUAACAGUAGUCUACUAACAGUUGUCUGCCAGCAGUAGUCUACUAACAGUAGUCUGCCACCAGUAGUCUACUAACAGUAGUCUGCCACCAGUAGUCUACUAACAGUAGUCUGCCACCAGUAGUCUACCACCAGUAGUCUGCCACCAGUAGUCUGCCACAAUUAGUUUGGUGAGAAAGCUGCUGGAACAGACUGUCUUGUAUUUUAUUUGAAGGCUUAUAGAUUAUUUUUGUCCAGAAUGUUGAUUAAAGCCUUUGUGAAGAACAAAGGAUAACAGGAAACAUGUGAUCAAUGAUUGUUAGCUACUGUACUGCUGCAUUCAUUUCAGAACAACGCGUAGGCCUAGUCUAUUUAGGGGAUAUUUGUACCAUGACGUUUAGCAUGACUUGGAUUAGAAAUACAGAAACCAAACAAACUGAUAAAAUCUUACAUUUCAAUCUGAUCUCGAGAAAAACUGGAACAAUUGAGAAGCUAAGCACACAGUGCUUGAGUCUCAAAUGGUACUCUAUUGGCUCUGGUCUAAAGUAGUGCACCAUAAAGGGAAUAGGGCUCUGGUCUAAAGUAGUGCACUAUAUAGGGAAUAGGGCUCUGGUCUAAAGUAGUGCACUAUAUAGGGAAUAGGGCUCUGGUCUAAAGUAGUGCACUAUAUAGGGAUUAGGGCUCUGGUCUAAAGUAGUGCACUAUAUAGGGAAUAGGGCUCUGGUCUAAAGUAGUGCACUAUAUAGGGAAUAGGGCCCUGGUCUAAAGUAGUGCACUAUAUAGGGAAUAGGGUCCCGUUUGAGACGCACAUCCCCAGUCUCAUGCUUUUGUCGAUGCUGAUCAAAAACAUGAUAUACACCGUCUCUGCUUCAUGUCUUUGGGAUGGACCUGGGCCUUGACUGACUUGAUAUAACUUCUUUACUCAAUGACCUUCAACAACUGGGGAUGUUGCAAUUCUCUCAGAAACGAAAGAAAGCUUUUCCAAUCCAUCACUACUUUUGUACGAGCUGUUGAAACGGGAAAGAGACAGUGAGCAAUGUGGAUGGAACAAUUACUGGUAAGAACACCACUAGGGACGGAUUGGAACCACUAGGGACGGAUUGGAACCACUAGGGGCGGACUGGGACCACUAGGGGCGGACUGGGACCACUAGGGGCGGACUGGGACCACUAGGGGCGGACUGGGACCACUAGGGGCGGACUGGGACCACUAGGGGUGGACUGGGACCACCAGAGGCACACUGGGACCACCAGGGACGGACUGGGACCACUAGGGGCGGAAUGGGACCACAAGGGACAGAAUUUCUAACACAGUGGCCAAUUUUGGUCCUCGAGACCCCGGCACUGGUCUGUUUUCCCCCUUGAAGCCAUCAUUAUUAGCACAAAAACACCAAUUUAGAUAGGCACAUUAGGCUAAAGUUGGACAAGCCCAUCUGGCAUUUGCCAGAAUUUCCCUAUGCUCAGUCCACCACUGAACACCACCUUGCUCCUGUGCUGUCAUGUGGAAGUGGAUUGACGUUGGCGGUCCCAUUCAGGACAAAAUGAUGACACUCAAAAACCCUUGUUAAUGUGUUUUAAUGCGUCUGAAGACCACCAUCAGCUGAAACGAUAAACCACAGUGGAAUCCUAAUUCCACAUGGAAGACAUCACCUACCUGUUGUUGACAGUUAUGUAGCCUCAAAACAGACAGGUUAAGAAAGAUGUUGACAUCUGUUCUUCAAGAGGACAAUGUGGAUACAGAUAUAAAGUAGAGGUCAAUGUGGAUACAGAUAUAAAGUAUGAAUCAUAGAAAUAGAAUUGGUCAUGGGUACAAUCAAAAUGGCCGCCGGUCAACCUGCCAAAACUGCCCCAAUGACUUGAGUUGGAAGGUCCAUUUUAAGGAUCCUACUUAUAUGAUGUGAAUGACACACCCGCAACUAUAAGAGUAUAAAAUAGAUAUUUCCAUAUGCUGUAUUUUUUUUCUAUGUUAAUAACUAGUGUAAUAAUCACUGUAUGUUUGUUGAUUUUAGUUAUUUGAAAUGAUUGGGUUCUGGUCAAAAUAGAAUCAGGGUUUCUCGGAGUCAAAUCAUUUAAUCUUGAGUCACGUCAAUAAUUAGGAUGCUCGUUUGUUUUUCGCAUUGAUUUAUGUAGUUGUGUACAUUUGUGUAUAGAACUUGGAAUUGUAAAUUAAUUUUCUGACAGCAGCAAUUGGUUUUAUUUUUUAAGAUGGGAUACAAUUGGUUUGUGUUACCCACCAUGGGCAUAGAGUUGAAAUAAUAACAGUACUGUCACAUUUGAAACCUAGAUAUGAGUCCCAAAUGGCACCCUAUUCCCUAUAUAUAGUGCACUACUUUUGACCAGAGCCCCAUAGACCUUGGUCAAAAGUAGUGUACUAUAUAGGGAAUAGGGUGCCUUUUGGGAUGUAACUCUAAUGUCACUGCACAUCAGAUUAGUGUCACUUGAAAAUAUGACUUGUUGAGCUAGGUUAGAUUAGUGUUAAGGCUGAUUGACACACAGUAUGCGUUUCAAAUGGUAGCCUAUUCCCUAUAUAUAGUGCACAACGUUUAACCAGAACCCUAUGGGCCCUGGUAAAAAAUUAAAAAGUAGUGCACUACAUAGGGAAUAGGGUACCAUUUGGGAAGCACUCACACUUCCCUGCUCUCUCAUUCCCCACAAUUAAGAAAACAGUCAUGCAGAGUCUGAAAUAUCUAUGUUCACUGCAAUAACAUCAAGGUCAAUGUGAUUGUGUCUUCUCAUAUUCUUUGUCUUUAUUGGGUUUACUGUCAAGAACAUGGCUGCAACACACACACACACACACACACACACACACACACACACACACACACACACACACACACACACACACACACGGAGUCAUGAUGAGGUGUGUGUGUUUAAUCAAAAACAACAAUUUUCUAAUCUUAGUAGAUUGAGUUUAUUUCAUGUCAAAUCCCCCCCCCCAAAACAUUUAUUUUUUUUAAUAUAGGUUUCUUAGUUUUCCAUUUCGUCCUUUCAAGUCCAAGGUCGUGUAGUACAGUUCCAAGGUCGUGUAGUACAGUUCCAAGGUCGAACAGUACAGCUCCAAGGUCGAACAGUACAGCUCCAAGGUCGAACAGUACAGCUCCAAGGUCGGACAGUACAGCUCCAAGGUCGAACAGUACAGUUAAUUGAAAUGAAAUGAUGAGGUUUUUCUCUGCUGUACUUUUCUGGCCACGGCCGCUAUUUUUCCAAUCUGGAGGAAAUGUUUUGGGUUGCAGUAUUUACCUCAGCCCCUGAAUUGGUGUGUUACCGUGUGUUUGUGUUUGUGUGUGUGUGUGUGUGUGUGUUUGCAUGGUGAGUGUGUGUGUGUGUAUGAUGGGAUGUGAUGUGAUUUGUGUGUGUGUGUGUUCCAAUAUGGUGACAGUGACUCAAUCUAACUGGGAGAGAUCCCCAGAUGUGCUGUGAACACUCAGAAAUUGGGUUUUAGAUGAGAAGCCACAGCACAGAAUAAACGGAACCAAUAUUUUCCAGCAACAGGUUGACAAUAAAUAAUUGUGUAUUUAAUGUAAUCCCAACCAUAAUUUUGUAUUUAAUGUAAUCCCAAGAUUGCAUUUAAUGUAAUCCCAAAAUUGCAUUUAAUGUAAUCCCAAAAUUGCAUUUAAUGUAAUCCCAAGAUUGCAUUUAAUGUAAUCCCAAGAUUGCAUUUAAUGUAAUCCCAAGAUUGCAUUUAAUGUAAUCCCAAGAUUGCAUUUAAUGUAAUCCCAAGAUUGCAUUUCAUGUAAUCCCAAGAUUGCAUUUAAUGUAAUCCCAACCAUAAUUUUGUAUUUAAUGUAAUCCCAAGAUUGUAUUUAAUGUAAUCCCAACCAUAAUUUUGUAUUUAAUGUAAUCCCAAGAUUGCAUUUAAUGUAAUCCCAAGAUUGCAUUUAAUGUAAUCCAACCAUAAUUUUGUAUUUAAUGUAAUCCCAAGAUUGCAUUUAAUGUAAUCCCAACCAUCAUUUUGUAUUUCACAACCAGGCAAAAUGCUUGAUCUUUAUUAUUCAAGUAAAUUAUUUCCUACAAAUAUAUUAUUCUAUAAGUGAUCAUAAUGUUUUAAAAACAUUUUCAGUUAGAAAAGGGAGAAUAUAUUUGAUCUGUCUGAUAAAUUGGUCUCCAGUUUGUAAUGAAGUUUAUAGUUUUAUCACUUAGUCUAUAUACAAAAGGAAGGUGCUUCAUUUUGCUGAGAUCUAUGCAAUAGUUGGAUUUCCAUGAGCAAUGUUGUAAUAUUAUUUGUGUCCUGCAGUUUCCUGAUAAUGUAAAAAUACUAUUUGUACAGAUUUUAAGGGCGG